UACGAAGGGGGCUAGCGUUAAUCGGAAUUACUGGGCGUAAAGCGUGCGCAGGCGGCUUGCCAAGUCAGAUGUGAAAGCCCCGGGCUUAACCUGGGAAUGGCGUUUGAAACUGGCAGGCUAGAGUUUGGCAGAGGGGGGUGGAAUUCCACGUGUAGCAGUGAAAUGCGUAGAGAUGUGGAGGAACACCGAUGGCGAAGGCAGCCCCCUGGGCCAAAACUGACGCUCAGGCACGAAAGCGUGGGGAGCAAACAGG
rnacentral:rRNA from 1 species